GGGCUGGGGCAUCAGACUCUCCUGCAGGUGGAGUGGAAAGUGUUUAUAAAUGCCCUGAUAUGGGUGCCCCUCUUCAAGAGCAGCAAGUGCUCUUCACUGCGGAGGCAGCCCUGCUUCCGUUCAUUGUCAAGUCAGCAGGAGUGCAUGUCAGUCUAGCUUUUAAACACUAGCACUUGGAUGCUGCCACACAGUGUUCCUUCCCAGCCUUCUGGUAUUAUCAGUAAUGCCGCAAAAUAUUAGAGACAAUACUGUAUCUCUUAUUUCUGUUUUUUAAAAACUGAUUCUUAAGCCCAGGAUGUGAUUUGUGCCUUUCAUCCUAGCACAUAGAAGGUGGAAGCAGGUGGAUUUCUGUGAGUUCAAAGCCACCCUGGUCAAAAUAGUGAGCCUCAAGCCUGCCAUCACCACACAGGGAAAUCUGUCUUAAAAGCAAAACAACCAGCCAGCUGAUGGUGUCGUGCAUCUUUCAUCCCUAGCACUCAGGAGGCAGAGGCAGGUGGCUCUCCGAGUUCCAGGCCAGCCUGGACUACAGAGAAAGUUCCAGGAUAGCCAGGGCUACACAGAGAAACCUUGUCACAGAAUCAAAAAACCAAAAGAAAACAAAACAAACUAACCUCUGACAUCUGUAUUAGUACAUUCUUAAGUUUUCAUUCUUGUCCGAUUCCCAUGUAUUAAAAGCCUAACAUUUUUUAGAUGAUUACUCUUUUUUACAACUCAUAUAUUAUGUAUGUUUAAUGAUAAUAAAAUAGAAUAAAUAAAUAAAUAAAUAAAUAAAUAAAUAAAUAAAUUAGAAGGAAGUGAAACUUUAAAAAUUGUUCACAACUCUAUCACACAGGGGCAUCACUGUUGAUUGUAAUUUUUUGACUUUUGACUUAAAUAUUCUUUGGUUCCUUUUUAGACAUUUUUACCUCAUGAUUUUACAUACAAUAUAAUGCUCUAAAAUUAUACCUCAAUUCAUCAUUUGCCAUAAGAAGGUUGCACAGUUAUGUGUUGGGUUCAUUUUAUUCUUAUUUUACAUGAAAAUACAUUCACAUUUAAGGACUAGGCCUUUGAGGAGGUUUGUAGCUUUGCACUCAUUGGGCCUAAUCUUAGAUGGUGUGGCAGUCCCGUUCUCCAACAGCCUUUGCAACCUCUGGUUCUUUUAAACAUACUAACUCAGCACAUCAUCUCUGUCAACGAACUGUAUUUUGCAAAGUCUUCUUGAAGAAGGUAACUGUGAACACUGCAUGUUUGCAUAGAUCAGGCCUAUUAGCAUGCAGUGUCUUGGUUCUCUUGUUUGGACUGUGUUUGCAUGUCAUAAAUGUCUAGAAGUGUACAGAACUCUGCUGUGUCACGCUUCAACUUGCUGCGUUGAAAUCAUUUGUCAUUUCGUUAGUACUAAGGGUUUAGUGUCUGGGCAUGCUGGUGUACACUGCAGUCACAGCUCUUGGGAAGUGGAGGUGGAAGAUGGAUAGUUCAGGGCCAGCCUCUACUACAUAUGGAGUUCAAAGCCAAGUCGACAUUCCAAGAAAAGGUUUACAUGAAAUGUUUCAACACUGAAAUAGAUCUGCUAGUAUAGGUAUCAUUUGAUUAUAAUCAUCAAUAAUAUAUUUUUAAGAUACAGUCUCAGUUUAUAGCCCUGGUGGCUAGCUUAGAAUUUAUUAUGUAGACCAGACUGGCCUUGAAUUUACAAAGAUCUGCCUGACCCCACCUUCUGAAUGCUAGAAUUAAAGGUGUGUACCAUUUUGCCUAGCUGUCACCAUCAAUAAUUAUGUAUGUUCAAACACUCUUGAAAAUUUCAAAUACUUAAAUAUAUUUCCCAACUUUGUUAAACAAUCUAAAGUAAUAUUUAUAUUUAAGUUCAAAUGUGGAAGCUGUUAUUCUCAUAUAAAACUUCAGUUUAGAAAUGGAUUCUUAAAGUUUGACCUAUCACAAUUGACUAUCUUUUUCUAUUUACAAGUUGAAAGUAUUCCUGGAUAAUUUUAUAUUGAGUUAUGCUUUCAUACUAAUUUCCAUUUUAAUUUCAGAAGUACAUUUCCUCAAAGAAAUUUUAGGUAGCAAGUGGAACUCUCCAAGGUAGCAAGGCUUUCCAUAGUUAGUGUGGCAAAGGUGAAAUAAGCUACACAGUUUAGUCCCAUUUCAUUAUUAAUUUUCAAUGGCCUUUCAGUUUUCAACUAUUUUUCUAAAUGUCAUCUCUUUAAGAGUGACAGCCAAGAGGUGGUGGCACACACCUUUAAUUCCAGCACAUGGGAAGCAGAGGCAAGCAGGAGUUCGAGCAGCCUGGUCUACAGAGUGAGUUCCAGGACAGCCAGGGCUACACAGAGAAACCCUAUCUCUGAAAAACCAAACACAAAUAAAACAAAAACAAUAAAAGAGUAAUAAUUUACAAAAAAACCCCAUUUAAUUAUAUUUUCUUAAUUGAUUUGUAGUGUGUGUGCGCAUGCACAUGCUCCUGUGAAGGUCAUAGGAUAAGUUUGCAAGGAGUUUUCUCCUUCUCUGUAUGAGUCAUGGGGAUUGAACACAGGUUGUCAGGCUUUGAAGCAAGUACCUUUACCCACCACCUAAUCUUACCAGCUUGGGAGUAAACUACUUAAAAAAAAAUAACUGGAGAGCUUCAUGAAGU
rnacentral:lncRNA from 1 species